rnacentral:tRNA from 1 species
AAGUCUUAAUAAUUUACUUUCUACACCUUUAGAAUUGCAUUCUAAUAUCAUAUCAUGAAUAUAAGACC